rnacentral:snoRNA from 1 species
GUAAGCCCAUUCGGUAUUUCAAUUGGUUGUUUCAAUGAACACUUGUUCAACUUGAGCUGACGGGCUAAAGUAAACUUUCACUUGGUAUACUGACUCUUGGAUGAAUUAGCCACAUCCAAUUGCCACGAGCCCAAGGACACGA